AGAGUUUGAUCAUGGCUCAGGACGAACGCUGGCGGCGUGCUUAACACAUGCAAGUCGAGCGGAAAGGCCACUUCGGUGGUACUCGAGCGGCGAACGGGUGAGUAACACGUGAGUAAUCUGCCCCUCACUUUGGGAUAGCCACCGGAAACGGUGAUUAAUACCGGAUAUGACCAUAUGUCGCAUGGCGUGUGGUGGAAAGUUUUUCGGUGAGGGAUGUGCUCGCGGCCUAUCAGCUUGAUGGUGAGGUAAUGGCUCACCAUGGCUUCGACGGGUAGCCGGCCUGAGAGGGUGACCGGUCACACUGGGACUGAGACACGGCCCAGACUCCUACGGGAGGCAGCAGUGGGGAAUAUUGGACAAUGGGCGGAAGCCUGAUCCAGCAACGCCGCGUGAGGGAUGACGGCCUUCGGGUUGUAAACCUCUUUCAGUACCGACGAAGCGCAAGUGACGGUAGGUACAGAAGAAGCACCGGCCAACUACGUGCCAGCAGCCGCGGUA
rnacentral:rRNA from 1 species